rnacentral:rRNA from 1 species
GAUGAACGCUGGCGGCGUGCUUAAUACAUGCAAGUCGAACGGACAGGCGCUGCUCUUGUGCGGCGCUCGUGAGGCGAACGCGUGAGUAUAACGUGAGUAUCCUGUCCUUGACUUUGGGAUAACUUCUCGGAAAUGGGGCUCAUAUCGGAUAUGAGCUACUGAUGCAUGGGGGGCGUUGGAAAGAUUCGGCGGUUGGGGCUGGACUAGCGGCUUAUCCGCUUGUUGGUGGGGUAGUGGCUUACGAAGGCUUUGACGGGUAGCCGGCCUGGGAGGGUAGCCGGCCACAUUGGGACUGAGAGACGGACCAGUCUCCUACGGGAGGCAGCAGUGGGGAAUAUUGCACAAUGGGCGGAAGCCUGAUGCAGCAACGCCGCGUGCGGGGUGACGGCCUUCGGGUUGUAAACCGCUUUCGCCUGAGACGAAGCGUGAGUGACGGUAAUGGGUAAAGAAGCACCGGCUAACUACGUG